rnacentral:ncRNA from 1 species
GAGAGCUGAUUGACAUCGAAAGAGUCACGAUCAGUUCGGGGAGGGGGCGUUGGAAAAGUACCCACGAGGGCAACUCGCUGGCGUCCUACUCCAC